AUUGAACGCUGGCGGCAUGCCUAACACAUGCAAGUCGAGCGGCUGAAGGGUGCUUGCUCCUGGAUUCAGCGGCGGACGGGUGAGUAAUGCCUAUGAAUCUGCCUGGUCGCGGGGGAUAACGUCCGGAAGCGGGCGCUAAUACCGCAUACGUCCUGAGGGAGAAAGUGGGGGAUCUUCGGACCUCACGCUAUCAGAUGAGCCUAGGUCGGAUUAGCUAGUUGGUGGGGUAAAGGCCUACCAAGGCGACGAUCCGUAACUGGUCUGAGAGGAUGAUCAGUCACACUGGAACUGAGACACGGCCCAGACUCCUACGGGAGGCAGCAGUGGGGAAUAUUGGACAAUGGGCGAAAGCCUGAUCCAGCCAUGCCGCGUGUGUGAAGAAGGUCUUCGGAUUGUAAAGCACUUUAAGUUGGGAGGAAGGGCAGUAAGUUAAUACCUUGCUGUGUUGACGGUACCGACAGAAUAAGCACCGGCUAACUUCGUG
rnacentral:rRNA from 1 species